CAGCAAAACAGAUGUCGUGUACUGCUUCCACAUGUAGACCAACCAGAAUAAGACUCCAAUUCCAUCAAAUGUAAUUUAUUUAAAUAACAAUUCAAUUGCAUGUUAAGUAAACCAGUUGUAGCAAUAUAAAAAUACAGAAUUUUGAGAAAAUCUGGCAAAUUAAACCUGUAUCUAAAUGCAGCAUAUUCUGUGAUACUACGGAAUGAAAAAUAAAAUGUGUUGACUUUCAAGUCAGGAUGAUUUAUUUGCACUUAAAAAUAUAAUUUCUAAGAUGACAUCUGUUUUCAAAAACAUCCUAAUGGUAAAAACAGGCUACAGGAAUUGUUGUCAUCAUGUUGAAAUUUUAGAUUUUAUAUUAGCAUUAGCUUAAAAAUCAUAGACAAUAACAUUAACACAAAAUCAGCAAGAGAACACUCAUUGGGAACAGUUUUUAUGUUAAAAAUAUCAGAGGUUCACAGUUUUCUUCUUUUUUCUUGACUUACAUUGAUAAAAUGCUUUGAUAGCUACAAUCAAUUUCACCUUCUAGUACCAGAUCCAAUGCCUCCUUGAUCAGCAGAUGGAUGUUACUAACACAUUCAUUUUAUAUAGAACUCACACAUAUUCAGUUUCUAAAAAUGUUUUGCUCUGCAAAACUGUGACUGCUGAGAGUGGGAAAGAUUGGAGACUAAAAUGUAAUGAGAAGAGAAAAAGAUAAAAUGCUGACAAUUUUUACUAACAGAACAUUAAAUUAUAAAGUACAUACAGGUAGCUUUUAUGAUUCAACAAGAAACUUCACAUUAGUUUACAAAGUGCUAUGGACUCUAAUUUUAUUUUUGUUUAAUCCAAACAAAAGUGAAAACCACACAUUAUCAAAGAAUUCUGAACUCCUUCUACAUGUCAAGUUAACAGAGGUUUUGAGGUGGGCAGACCACAAGACAGGUUUAUUUUGUAUGUUUUAAGGCAAAGCAAAAUCUCCCAAAUGAAACAUCUACAAAAUACAUUUGCUUUGAGAAUAAAUUUCAGUAAUAAAAAAAUACUUCUCAUUUAUUAAAUAUACAUAUUUGCCUUUACAUUUGAUUUAGCAAUGUGAAUCAAAAAAUGCAAGUGUUCUGUGAACAUCUGCAAAUCAAUAUUUUUAAACACCAAUACAGAAAUGAGUCAGUUUUCAUUCAGGUGUUUGGAUGUUAACAGUCAGCAAAAGAAAAAAAAAAAUAGACUACUUAUGGAAUUUUCCCUAACACAAUAUGAGAAUGCAACAUAUUUUUGAGAAUUAAGUAAUUUUUCUGGACCAUACAUAUCAGUGAAACACAUAUGUUCUCCUUCUGCAAAUAUUAAUUAAAGAGAACCCAACAGUGCUUAAACCAUUAAAUUUAACCAACAGCCUAAGAUUUAAAAUGUUUACCAUAAUCUCUGUUUAUGUAAAUUAUUUUCUUAAAGAAAAAACAAAACACUCUAUAGAACAUAACUGUCUACUUUGAAGAAUAAAUCACUUUGGGGAAAAAAUGUGAAUAAAAGCUGAACUCGGCCAGGCAUGAUGGCUCACGCCUGUAAUCCCAGCACUUUGGGAGGCUGAAGUGGGCGGAUCACCUGAGGUCAGGAGUUCGAGACCAGCCUGACCAACAUGGAGAUACCCUGUCUCUACUAAAAAUACAAAAAUUAGCCGGGUGUGAUGGCACAUGCCUGUAAUCCCAGCUACUUGGGAGCCUGAGGCAGGAGAAUUGCUUGAACCCAGGAGGCAGAGGUUGUGGUAAGCCAAGAUCGUGCCAUUAAACUCCAGCCUGGGCAACAAGAGCAAACUCUGUCUCAGGGAAAAAAAGAAAAAAAAAGGGUGAACUCAUUUAUUAUCCCCAAAAUUGCUACCUGGACGUUUGUCUACAUUAAAAAUAGGAAUGACUUAAAAUGUCUACAUGAUUUCCAAAGCAAAGAGUGUCAUACCUUCAAAUUGAUUAAGACCAUUGUAUUAGUCCAUUCUCACACUGCUAUGAAGAAAUAUCUGAGACUGGAUAAUUUAUUUAAAAAAGAGGUAUAAUUGACUCACAAUUCUGCAUGGCUGAGAAGGCCUCAGGAAACUUAGAAUAAUGGCGGAAGGCAAAGGGAAAGAAAGGCACCUUCUUCUUCACAGGGCGGCAGGAAAGAGAAGUGCUGAGCAAAGGGGGAAAAGCCCCUUAUAAAACCAUCAAAUCUCGUGAGAACUCAAUCACUAUCAUGAGAAUAGCAUGGGGAAAACUGCCCCCAUGAUUCAGUCACCUCCCACUGGGUCCCUCCCAUGUGGGGAUUAUGGGAACUACAAUUCAAUAAGAGAUUUGGGUAGAGACACAACCAAACCAUAUCAACCACACAGCACUUCAAAAUAAUACAAUUCCUUUAAAAAUGAAAUAAUAUUCUUUAUUAUACUUAUUUUUUAUUCAAAGUUUUUGGCUACAAGUCUGCUACACUGAGACCAAUUUAUUUCUUUCCCAAAUGGUGCCCAACAGACUACCAAUAAUUAAAACUAAUUUACUAGAAAAUACUAAGCAGCAAUAAAACUGAAGGUGUCACUGGGAUAUGCCAGCACCCCUUAAAUUUGUUGUUUAAAUUAGUGUUUCUAAAAACUAUGGCAUUAAUAUACAAGGUAUAUUGUAUGUUAAUAUUCAACAAGUUUCACAUAAUGAAGUUUGUUAUUAAAGUGCCUUAAUUUUCCCUAUUAAAUAUCCAAUCUGUAGGCAUUCUUUUCAGUUAAAUACAGUGAGCCAGCUGCUUUGAUUUUUCCAUGUGAUGUCCUGUUACAGUAUUACUGUGCUAAACACAUAUCAUGGGUACAUUGUAAGCAGAAGGGAAUGGGGUGUAGACUUCCUCUGAAGCUAGAUCCACCUAUCUCCUCUGGAUAAUUCAGGCCAAGAACCUGCUCAGCCAUCUCAGUCCACUAAACAGUCCUUGCAUCAUUUCUUUCUGCAGUUAUGAAGUUACAAAAUGACUAGAAUGGACUUCAACAGUCCUCUAAGAGGACAGUCUGUCAAGAUCAGAUAGCAGCUGCUCAACAUAAAAGAUAUCUUCCCUGAUGAUAAAUUCUGAUGUGUCCUUUUCAUUACAUUUCAAGUUCAACAUUUCAAAAUAACUAAAUCUAACAGCAAAUGUGUAAAAGACAAAACUACCAACAAUAGGCAGCAGAAACAAGCAAUCUAACACUUAAAGACAAAAAUAUGUAAAUAACUGGACUCGGGGAGGAAGGACUAGGAUAAGAAAUCCUGCAUUUCUUUGGAAAGAACUGUAUAAAACAAUGUCUAUUUAUUAUUUGUAAGUAGUUUUGUAUAUAGCUAUCUAUAGAUACAUGUAUCUUAUGAAGAAAUAUCUGAAGAGAUUUAAAAUGUCUUAAUUAUAUAUAUGCAUAUCACUUAGGUAUCAUACACAUUCAAAAAUAAAUUAUUCUCUAAAUGGGUAACAUGUGUCCACAAACCUUUAUUUUAUAUAUAUAUAUAUAUAUAUAUAUAUAUAUAUAUAUAUAUAUAUAUUUUUUUUUUUUUUUUUUUUUUUUUUGAGACAGGGUCUCACUCUGUCACCUGGGGUGGAGUGCAGUGGCAUGAUCUUAGCUCACUGUAGCCUCAAACUCCUGGGAUCAAGCAAUUAUCCCACCUAAGUCUCCCUAGUAGCUAGGACUACAAGUGCACUCCACCAUGCACGGCUCAUUUUUUUUUUUUUUUUUUUUUUUGUAAAGACAGGUUCUCACUGUAUUGCCCAGGCUGGCCUCAAACCCCUGGUCCCAAGUGACGCCCCCCAACUUUGGCUUCCCAAAGUUUUAGGAUUACAGGCGUGAGCCACCAUUGCCAGCCUCUAAAAACCUUUAAAUAGUAAUACUGGCCUAGUUGAGAAAGUCAGUGUUGAAACAUUAAUAACAAAGCAAUGGAAAAGAUUCCACUAGAUUUCUCAGAAUAAUUUUAUCUUAGAAAAUAUUGGGCCAGGCAUGGUGGCUCACGCCUGUAAUCCCAGCACUUUGGGAGGCCAAGGCGGCCAGAUCACCUGAAGUUGGGAGUUCGAGACCAGACUGACCAACAUGGAGAAACCCCAUCUCUACUAAAAAUACAAAAUUAGCUGGGCAUGGUGGCACAUGCCUGUAAUCCCAGCUACUUGGGAGGCUGAGGCAGGAGAAUUGCUUGAACCUGGGAGGCAGAGGUUGCAGUGAGCCUAGAUCGUGCAAUUGCACUCCAGCCUGGGCAACAAGAGCGAAACUCUGUCUCAAAAAAUAUAUAUAUUAAUCAUGAAAUCUAUCUUCUCAAAGAUGUGAAUCACUCUUCUAUAACUCUAACAACUGUACUUUGUAAAAAAGAAUGUCUGUAAAAUCAAAUUAAAAUCAUCAUCUCAAAAAUAAAAUUUCUUAAUCUAGUACAUAAGGAGUUUGGCGGAGGGAGGGCAGAAUAAUGUUCAAAUAUGCCAAUGACACUGACCAUCUGCAGAUAAACACGAUCAAAUGAAAGUUUAAGGGCACUUUAAAUAGAAAAAGCAAACUUCACAGAUAUGUAUGUGAAGCACAAAUCAGGUGAUCAUAGUAGACAGCAAGUAAAAGCCAGAACUCCGCAAAGCAGGCUAUUGGGAGGCCUUUAAGAAGUGCAGCACGUAUGAGUGAAUGCUUCCUCAGCAUUCAGCACCAUUCCCACAUGUGCUGUAAGCCAUUCCGGGUGCUCCGCAGCCAUGUGUGGCGAGGGGCUACUGUACUGGACAGAGCAAGACUGAGGGGAAACAACACGGUUUACAGGCUCAUGAGGGCAAGGUAAUUUUCUAAGAUCCAUUCCAGGCCCAAGGAAUCACAAAAUCUUAGGGUAUUAAAACAUCACUGGAGUCUUCGUCAACUCAUUUUAACUAAAUGUAUUUGAAUUUAAGAUUUCUAAAUAUGCAGAGUAUAAAUACAAAAAAAAAAAACAGAAAUGGAGGGAAAUGAAUGAAGCAUUAGAUAAUUCCAGAAGAUUUUCCAGUUAGCCACAAAGAUCUUUUUAAAAAUUAUUUUUAAUGUCCAAGCUGGAGGAAAACCCUCCUAUUUAUGAAGAUCAACAGACUAGACUCACUUUAAAAAGGAGUGGAUCACGAGUUCAGGAGAUCGAGACCAUCCUGGCUAACACGGUGAAACCCCGUCUCUACUCAAAAUACAAAAAAUUAGCCAGGCGUGGUGGCGGGCGCCUGUAGUCCCAGCUACUCGGGAGGCUGAGGCAGGAGAAUGGCGUGAACCUGGGAGGAGGAGCUUGCAGUGAGCAGAGAUUACGCCACUGCACUCCAGCCUGGGUGACAGAGCGAGACUCUGUCUCAAUAAAAUAAUAUUAAAUUAAAAUAAAAUAAAAGGAGUGGAAAGUAUUAACACCGGGGAUUGUUAGUGUCUAUCACAACUACCUCUAAUAGUAGCUUUGAAAGAGAAAACAUUCACUUUUAUUUGAAAUGGUAGGGGGGGAGCAUUUUUUCUUUACACACUCCCUGCUGAUUUGAAGCCCUAAUAAAAGAAUCAUAGAGUGACCUCAAAGUUCAACUAGUCUAAGCUUGCAGGACAGGCAGAAAUGACAGUCACAUUAGCCCUGCUUAAACUCACCCCUUUGCAGAAGAACUGGUUAUUGAUUUUAGACUGUUGGGUUUUCCGAUAAUGAAAAAUCUUCCUCGGCACUGAUUAAUCUGGAAUUCAGCUUCCUACAGCCUUUAUCCACUUGUCUCAUUUCUGCCCUCUGAGGAUAAAGACAGGAUCAAUGGACUUAAUUUUCCUAUAUAACUUGGAAACUUCUUGUAUCAGGGAGCAUAGAAAACAUUAACAUAUAUGUCCAGAUAAGAGCUGAUACAGUUCACCUUUCAUUCCUUGUCAGGGGGAAAUCAUGCCUUCCUUGUCACCAUUCCUACAAAGCACAAAGUUACUUAAAUUUAUACAGCACCAAUCAGAACCCUGCCUCUCCAUUAAGGAAAAAAAAAAGGCAAUUAUGCCAGGAACUACAUGAAUUGCACUGUCAGACACAAUGGCAACCCAACCCCAUCAUAAAUGCCCCUCAAAAAACUAGAUAAAACUGUCACUUCAGUAUUCAUUCUUCACAGAACACCCUAAUGACUCCAAAAUGCAAUAUUAGCUGAUGCCCAAGAAGUUGGUGCCACUACAAUAUCUUGAACAUAGCAGGAAACAUAAAUAUUUGUAGCAUUUUGAUAUUACAGUACUAAAAGAUCCACUGGAUAUACUGUCCAUAGUAUCAGGUAACUGCAUAAAGAAUAGGAAACAAAAAUAAAACAAAAUAUAAAUAACAAAAAAGAUUUUUAAAUGGAGAUGAAUUUCUUUUAUAUUUGUUUAGUAAUGCAGAGUUAAAAUAAAAAUGGCCACUCUAAGCUUAAAACUGUUUCAUUUUAUCCCCAAAAGAGAAUUUGUUACUGACUUGCAGCACUGACUUGCAGCUUCUCACAGUAACAAUGUAAGAAUAUAUGCUCAGUAUACCCACAGUCACAAUGUGAGUGUGCGCUUUCAAAAAUAAUGUUACCAAAGCUCUUCUAAGAGCUUUUUUCCAAAAAGCUUUUUUUGGAAAACUUUUUUCCAAAGCUAUACACAAAUAAUUUUUAAUGUAUUUUCCACUACUAAUUAUAAUGACAGUUAAUUUUAUUUUCUAUUUUGUCUGUACCUAAAGUUGUAUUACUAAUAACACAUUGAUAUCUACCGCCAUUGAUAUCUAUCUUUCAUUGGAUAUACAUCCUCAGUGUUGGUCAAGAAUCAGUACCUUGAAGAAAACAAGCCACACACUGCUUGAUACAGGUCCAUGUGGCAGGGAACGGCAGGAGCAGGUUCAUAUAACCUGGGUAGCCUACUGUCAACAUCAAACACAUGAAUACACAGUAAGCUAUUUGCUAAACAAUAUUAAUUUUCACAUUAAA
rnacentral:lncRNA from 1 species